AUUGAACGCUGGCGGCAGGCCUAACACAUGCAAGUCGAACGGUAACAGCAAGCAGCUUGCUGCUUUGCUGACGAGAGGCGGACGGGUGGGUGAUUUCUUGACGACUGCAUGAUGUAGCGGGUUAACUACUGGAAACGGUAGAAGUUACCGCAUAACGUCGAAAGAACACUGGGGGGGCCCUACGGGCGUCUUGCACUCGGCUGUGCCCCGAUGGGAUUAGCUUGUUGGUGAGGUAACGGCUCACCAAGGCGACGAUCCGUAGCUGGUCUGAGAGGAUGACCAGCCACACUGGAACUGAGACACGGUCCAGACUCCUACGGGAGGCAGCAGUGGGGAAUAUUGCGCAAUGGGCGCAAGCCUGACGCAGCCAUGCCGCGUGUAUGAAGAAGGCCUUCGGGUUGUAAAGCACUUUCAGCAGGGAGGAAGGGAUGAAGUUGAAUACCUUGACUCAAGGACGUUACCCGAAGAAGAAGCACCGGCUAACUCCGUG
rnacentral:rRNA from 1 species